AAAACACUUUCAUCACAAUGCAAAGAAUGAGCUCGGAGAUGAUACUUUGCAAAUGUCUAUUUUCCACAACGAGGGAACAAUGAGUCAUCUGGCUGACUUUGAGGUGAUCAAUGAGCUAGCAGACACAUUUUGAGUUUUACACCCAGCCAUCACUCCGGCUGGUGCCUGGGAGAAUUCACUGGAGGUCCGACCGAACGGCCCCGGGAUCUAGAGUCCGGGGUCCAGAUUCCAGGGUCAAGAGUCCAGGGUCCAGGGUCAAGGGUCCAGGGUCAAGAGUCCAUGUCCAGAGUCCAGGUCCAGAGCCAAAAUCUUCCUGAGAUAUUUCAGCAAUAUCUAGAUUAAUUCAUAUUGUUUUUGUG
ensembl:lncRNA